UGCUGCUUUCAAUAAUUUUUUUUGUCUUUAAUUUUUGCCAAUUUGAUUACUAUGUGUCUCGGCAUGUUUCUCCUUGGGUUUAUCCUGUAUGGGACUCUCUGUGCUUUUUUCUCAGGUCCUUUCUCUCUCUCUUCUCCUUCUGGGACCCCUGUAAUGCAAAUGUUGUUGCAUUUAGUGUUGUCCCAGAGGUCUCUUAGGCUGUCUUCAUUUGUUUUCAUUCUUCUUUAUUCUUUUCCGCAGCCGUGAAUUCCACCAUUCUGUCUUCCAGGUCACUUAUUCGUUCUUCUGUCUCAGUUAUUCUGCUAUUGAUUCCUUCUAGUGUAGUUUUCAUUUCAGUUAUUGUAUUGUUCAUCUCUGUUUGUUUGUUCUUUAAUUCUUGUAGGUCUUUGUUAAACAUUUCUUGCAUCUUCUUGAUCUUUGCCUCCAUUGUUUUUCCGAGGUCCUGGAUCAUCUUCACUAUCAUUAUUCUGAAUUCUUUUUCUGGAAGGUUGCCUAUCUCCACUUAUUUAGUUGUUUUUCUAGGGUUUUAUCUUGUUCCUUCAUCUGGUACAUAGCCCUCUGCCUUUUCAUCAUGUCUAUCUUUCUGUGAAUGUGGUUUUUGUUCCACAGGCUGCAGGAUUGUAGUUCUUCUUUCUUCUUCUCUCUGCCCUCUGGUGGAUGAGGCUAUCUAAGAGGCUUGAUGGGGUGGACUGGUGGUGCGUAGAGCUGACUGUUGCUCUGGUGGGCAGAGCUCAGUAAAACUUUAAUCCACUUGAAUGUUGAUGGGUGGGGCUGGGUUCCCUUCCUGUUGGUUGUUUGGCCUGAGGCAACCCAACACUGGAGCCUACCUGGGCUCUUUGUUGGGGCUAGUGGCGGACUCUGGGAGGGCUUACGCCAAGGAGUACUUCCCAGAACUUCUGCUGCCAGUAUCCCUGUGCCCUUGGUGAGCCACAGCCAACCCCCACCUCUGCAGGAGGCCCUCCAACACUAGCAGGUAGGUCUGGUUCAGUCUCCCCUGGGGUCACUGCUCCUUCCCCUGGGUCCUGAUGCACACACUACUUUGUGUGUGCCCUUCAAGAGUGGAGUCUCUGUUUCCCCCAGUCCUAUCAAAGUCCUGCAGUCAAUUCCCACUAGGCUUCAAAGUCUGAUUCUCUAGGAAUUCCUCUUCUCGUUGCCGGGCCCCCAGGUUGGAAAGCCUGACGUGGGGCCCAGAACUUUCACUCCAGUGGGUGGACUUCUGUGGCAUAAGUGUUCUCCAGUCUGUGAGUCACCCACCCAGCAGUUAUGGGAUUUGAUUUUACUGUGAUUGUGCCCCUCCUGCCGUCUCAUUGUGGCUUCUCCUUUGUCUUUGGCUGUGGGGUAUCUUUUUUGGUGAAUAUCUUUUUCCAUCCCCUCACUUUCAGUCUGGUGAGUUCUUUUUUGGUGAGUCUUCCUGUCAGUGAUUGUCCAGCAGCUAGUUGUGAUUCUGGUGUUCUCGCAAGAGGGAGUGAGCGCACAUCCUUCUACUCCACCAUCUUGGUUCCUGUCCUCUAUACAGUUAUUCUUAAAGUCUCUUUAUGAAAAAAAAGUGUCCUUUUUUCCUACCAUUAUGUCCUAUCUGUGAAUAUUCAUGAGUUAAAACUUCCUAUGUGUCACACACAGGCACUAGGUAUAGGAGACUAUUCACUACAAUUUCAUGGAGAUAUUUGAUUUUUCCGAAAGGUUUGAAUCAUACCAGGUACAAGGCUUAAUUAACAUACAAAUAAAACCUUCCCUCUACCUUAUUUUCCAAUUAAAUUUUAAAAAUUACAGAGCAGAUUUCUUGUUAUCUUUUUAUAGAAGCAUAUGAGGCAAAUGUGACUAUUUUAAAUCCCUCCCUUUCAAAAACUUGCUUUUAACGUACUCUUUCUAAGGUUUUAUAAGAGUCAAAAAAGGACUUUGGAUUCUUUACCCCUGUCUCAUCUUCCCUUUGUGACCUUGCCCUUGUCUGUUAAUAACGUUUCGUGGACUGGGAAAGUAGUGUGCCUACAUGCGGGCCUGGUGGGAGUUGGUCUAAAGCAGCAACUGGCAGUGUUUUAGCGACACUGAGUCAGCAUGGUGAUGGUCAGACAGCGAGGAGCAUCUUUAUUUCUGCUUACUGUGCUCUCAGCGUCCUUAAUCCUUCGGCUUCCUGCAUUGCUUUGCCGAUAACUGUGUCCCCAUUUCUGUCUCUGCUGUUUCGCCACCUUUUCCACUGUCUUUCCUUAUAGAACUACAUUCUCAGAUGCUCCCUAUCCCUUACCUAUCCCAUCUAGAACAUAAUUGCCACGAGUAGUGACUACAACGAAUAAAGGCAUCUACAAAAGCAAUAGUUUCCUCCAGUCCAAAUUGUAUGCAGAUUGUAACUGGCCAGCAGACUGAACUGGAGGACCUCUGACAUCAUCGUAAGAUGAUCUGUCUUGAUUCCAAGAAACAAAAAGCACUCUAUUCGUAUGCCUAAAUGUAAUAACUUAUGGAAACUCUUUUGGCACAGAAAAAACUUUCUCAUAGAAUGUGUCUUGAUUUUCUACUCAAGGAAACAACUGUCCAGUAACAACCCUAAGGAGAACACCACUCCAGACUGGGUCCAUUACUCACUAACACUUUCCACAUCCUUUUCCAAAGAGCCUGGUGAUCCCACCAAGAACAAGGCAGGAGAGCAUGACGAGCUCUCUGCGGAUGCCUCUGGCACAUGGAGAAUGAAACCCAGAACACAGUGUCCAAGAAGCACGCAGAUCCUUUCUGGAGACGUCGAGGGAUGAAGCAGAAACCGUGCGGUUUCGGGACACGAAGUCACUUACCUCACCGUGUCCUCAGGCAGCGUGCAGCCCAAUUGAGUUGGGACGAGAACUCAGGGUAAGUCGCAGGACCAGUCUGCACACAGGAAGGUACACAGUCAGUGCAGAAUACGAUGCACAUAGAUGGCUGUGGACGUCAAAACAGAAACAUGAGCAAUGCAUUGGGCCGAGAGGGAUGUAGAGCCCCUUGGGAGCAGACGGCCUGGCCCUUUCUCUCUCUGGCAUGGAGUGCGUAUCCCCUGGAGCUUUCAUCCUUCUCCAUGGGCAAGCACGAAUCUCCUGGCAGACACACACCGCCACCUGUGCCAGGAGCGGCAACAAAUCCAAAGGUCGGGGAGGCAGGUGAGAGUGUCAGGAGGAAGUCACAGGGUAGGUGACUAACCCUGUUUUUGAGUGGAGCAGGAAGGACUCUCACAUUUUUAUCGGGUGAAUCUGGACUUCGGACAUAACGAUAGUAUGAAGUAGUUCGGGGAUUUAAAGUCUGCUGCCCCCGGAGCAGGAGCAUAGAAUUUGCCCCUGUGAUGCUUUCGUCCCUGGUUCAUCUCUGAGGAUCUCCUGUCCGUGAGCCGAUCAGCUGUGUGCUGUUGUGCAGAUGACUCACUGAGGCCGGAGAAUUAAAUACUGGCAAAGGAUUCAGUUCCAGGACGGUUAGGGAAGACGUCCCGGGGAUGAGAGAAGGGAAUGUGAACUCAGAAAUCCCUGGUCCACUGCCUCGGCUCUGCGUGUGUGGUGAUGGUGAAGUAGGGAGGGGGCAAGGGAGCAAGUUCAUCUCUUUGUUCUUUUUUAAAACCCCCUAGGCCACCUUGUCUGGUGUAGCACAUUGGACAUUUACUCUUCUGUGCAAAUUUUCUUUUAUUGUGAAAUACUUCACACAUACAGAGAAGCUAGGAGAAUUAGAUAACAAAUCCUCAUUUCUCUACUACCUAUAUUUGUGCAAUCUAACAUUUUGCUGUGUUUGCUUCGGGUCUCUCUUAAGACGUACAACAUCAAAGAUACGGUUGAACCCUUGUCCCUUUUGCCCCUCCUGCAUUCUGUGCUCCUCCUUAUGUCAGCUAUUUCUCAGUAACAAACCACCUGGAAACGUAGUGGCUGAAACAAUAAGCCCUUAUUACUCAUGACUCCUUGGUCACCUCGGCUGCUCUGGUCUUACCUGGGCUCAGUUUUCAGAUCCGCUUCAGUAGGUCAGGUGGGCGGCUCUGAUGAUCUUGGCUUGUCUUUCUCGGGUGUUUGGAGGUCAGCUGGCUGUAGGCUGGAAUAGGCUGACCUCAGCUGGGACACUUGGACUGUCCUUCACUGGGUCUCAUCCUCCAGGAGGCUGGCCCCAACUUGCUCACGCGCGUCAGCAGAUCGGAAAAGACAGUGGGAUGGUGCGAUGCCUCUGAGGCCUAGACUCAGGACUGACACACAUCACUUGUCUACCACAUUCCGUUGGUUAAAGCAAGUCCCAAAGCCAUCGCAUAUUCUAGGAGUGAGGUAAUAGGUUCCCAGUUUUGAUGAGAAGUGCUACUAAAGUCCCAUAACAAAAAGCAUGGACACAGGAUGGGGAGAAAAUUUGGGAAUAUUUCUGCUACCAAUGUAUCCGUCUUUCCUCAGUAGUGAUUGCUGUCUUAACUUUGAUGUUCUUCAUUCUCCUGAGUUUAUUUAUAGUUUUAGUGCAUAUCUGUAUAGUGUACAUCCAUGUCUAUAUAGUGUAGCCAUAAACUGUGUCGUAUUGAGAUGUGCCGAAGGUGUCAUACUGAAAGCAUUUUCUUCUGCAUGUCACUCAACAACUUGCUUUUGUUAAACCCCAUAUCAUGCUUUUGAGAUUUAACCAUACUGAUACAGAUAGAGCCACUUCAUUCAUUUUAGCUGCUAUAUACUAUUUUGUUUGUUUGUUUGUUUGUUUUUGCGGUACGCGGGCCUCCCUCUGCUGCGGCCUCUCCCGUUGCGGAGCACAGGCUCCGGACGCGCAGGCCCAGGGGCCGUGGCUCACGGGCCCAGCAGCUCCGCGGCACGCGGGAUCCUCCCGGACCGGGGCGCGAACCCGGUUCCCCUGCAUCGGCAGGCGGACGCGCAACCGCUGCGCCACCAGGGAAGCCCUGCUAUAUACUAUUUUUGAGUACUCUGAAUUAUAUGCUUACGGUCCAGUUUGUUUAUUUGUUUAUUCUGCUCCUGAUGGACAGUGAGGCGCUUUGCAUUGAGCAUGCACGUUAGCUUCUCCAGGGUGUAUCUCUGUGAGUGGAAUUGCUGGAUUCCAGAGUAUUAACAACUUCAAAUUUGUUAGUUCCAAAUUUAACUCCCAAGUGCUUGUCCCAAAUUCCCCUUCCACUGACAGUAUAUGAACACUCCUUUUUUUCUCCGUAUCCUCGUAGAAACCAGGCAAGAACUUUCAGAAAUUUUACUUUUUUGCCAUUCCAGUAAGAAAUAGUGCCAUUUGGUUUUGCGUUUCUGUUGUCACUGGUGAUGUUGUGUAGCAUAGCGUGUUUGUUGGCCAUUUUGAUUUCCCUGGUCAUGAACUGUUUGAGUUAUUUUUGAGGAACCUCCAGACUGUUUUCCACAGUGACUGCACCUGUUUGCAUUCUCACCAACCGUGCACAAGGGUUCCCUUUUCUACACAUCUUUGCCAACACUUGUCGUCUCUUGUCUUUUUGAUAAUAGCCAUUCUAACAGGUGUGAAGUGAUAUCUCAUUGCACUUUUGAUUUGCAUUUCCCUGAUUAUUAGUGAUAUUGAGCAUCUUUUCAUGUACCUAUUGGCUAUUUGUAUGUCUCUUUGGAAAAAUGCCUAUUCAGUUCCUCUGCCGAUUUUUUA